UCAAAAUUAUAUAAAAACCUAAUUUCCCUCUUCUCCUUCACCGCCGCAUCUUCCCCGAGCCACCCCGCGACGCCGCCUCCCCGAGCCCUCAUGCGCCGCCGCCUCGCCUCCUUCGCCGGUCUCCAGUCUCUUUCCUCCUCACUCGAGCAGCACAACUGACGACCUCUUCUCACGCGGCCACCACAGCCGCGAUCGCUCCCUCACGCGAGCACCGCAGUGCCGCCUCCUCUGCCCUCGCCGAACCUCGCUCCCUCACGCAAGAACCACAAACGCCGCCGACCACCUCGACCCGUCGCCGGCCGAGACCUAGGUUAGGGGGUGAAUGAGUCUCCCGAUCCUCCUUCCUCUUCACUAAUCUGGAUAAGGGGUAGCAAGUAGAUGAGUCAUGGAUGCUUGGAGAGAUGUCGGCUGCCAGUCCUGGGUCCUGCGUUAUAUCGGUUUUAUUUCUGCUUUACUUGUAUUUUUAGUAUACAGUAAUUUUAGUAUUGUAUGAAUUGGUUUGUGUUCUGGGUCAAGUCUGUGAUUAUAGGUAUUUUUGUUAGUGUCGUUGUUGGUUUUACGUUCGUA